rnacentral:rRNA from 1 species
UGGGGAAUAUUGCACAAUGGGGGAAACCCUGAUGCAGCGACGCCGCGUGAGCGAAGAAGGUUUUCGAAUCGUAAAGCUCUGUCCUAUGAGAAGAUAAUGACGGUAUCAUAGGAGGAAGCCCCGGCUAAAUACGUGCCAGCAGCCGCGGUAAUACGUAUGGGGCGAGCGUUGUCCGGAAUUAUUGGGCGUAAAGGGUACGUAGGCGGUCUAUUAAGUCAGGUGUGAAAGCGUGAGGCUUAACCUCAUUAAGCACUUGAAACUGAUAGACUUGAGUGAAGGAGAGGAAAGUGGAAUUCCUAGUGUAGCGGUGAAAUGCGUAGAUAUUAGGAGGAAUACCGGUGGCGAAGGCGACUUUCUGGUCAUCAUCUGACGCUGAGGUACGAAAGCGUGGGUAGCAAACAGG